rnacentral:lncRNA from 1 species
UAUGACUGCAGCUAUAAAUUAAUCAAGUUGAUGUUGCCAGUAAACAAAAAAGGGUUAAUCAGUAAUUAAUUUAAAUAAAGUAUUUUUCACGAAAUUGUGAACAUAAAGAAACGUGUCUAGAUAUAAUUAUUUAAGUACGAAUCACUGACAACGUGGGACCACCGGCGUGAAAAACUAAUAAAAUAAGGCGGCGGGGCCAGUUAUACUAACUAAAAAUUGCAAAAUAAAUGGGUGAUAUACCAAAAUAAGCUUUCUAGAAGGUUACAAGAAAGAGAGACUUAUUCUACCCAAGCGUCAAUUAUAAUCUAAUAGAACUUUAAAAAAAAAUUUUAAAAAUUAUUUAAAUUAAGAAACUAUUCAACACAUCGGAAAAUUAUUUUCUAUUUUUUCUAUUAUCCGCAGGAAAUGAUGGCCAAGAUAAUCCACUGAAUGCAGAUAAUUAUCAAAAUAGAUGAAAUUCAAGAAGCAAUAGUAAGUAAUAACCGAAAAAAGUAAUCGUCAAAGCACAAGUGAAGUAAUUCUAGAACCAGACCUUCAUUGUCAACAAUAAUCCGCACAGAGUAGCCAUGGACAAGGAGCUGUUUCACAACAGCAAUACCGAGGUACGAUACACCGCUGGUGACACAAACUAACUUCUCGAGUACGUCGCCGUUUCCAGCUCCGACAGGAUCUCUGUCUCUUAAAUCUUCACAGUCCUUUCUCCGGUGACCAGCGGCACAAGACAGCAGCAUACGACGGAACUCGUCGAUCUCCACAUUCUCAGUCUCGUGCAAUCGCAGAAUCCCCAUUGCAGCAGCUUGUCGCGAUAGUCGGUAGAGGAAGUUGUUAGUAGAAGGUUAAGUAGGAAUUUUAAUCGGGCAUCAUGCAUAAUAAGCCUCGUCUUUUAUGCUUGUUGACGCCCGAAGAUGGCUUGGCUUGUAAUCAGCUUGGAGGCCAAUGUGUUAGUCUUUU